rnacentral:lncRNA from 1 species
AAAUGAUCCACCCACUUGUCAACUGGCACUGAUCAAACGCGGCCUUGGUAAUAAAUUCUUAUGAACGAUCACGCUUUUGACCAAGGAAAGGAUCCAACAACAACACAAAAUCCAUCUCUUGCCCAAUGCAACUCAUCAUUCAAGCGAAGAAACAAGUUUGACAAAAGUCACAAAACCAGUAGUUACUAGCACGAACAGUCAGGCUUUGUGUGCCACACGCUAAUUAAGAACUCAACAAAUUCAUUACAGAAACAAAUUCAUCAAGCAAGCGACGGAUCAAUGAUGGUGGAUUGGACACUGAAGGAGACAGAGGGUUUUGUUGGGACGCAGCAGCAGGUGGGCACCCCACCGACGACCUUGCAUUGCCCGGCACCAUUGAUUCCUAGGACGGCACACGUCUCCGAGCACUGAUCUUCCUUGCAGACUCUAAGUGGGUAGCAGCAUCCGCCAUCCGCUUCCUGCUGGAAGUGGAAGCCGCCGGCCCUGCUCGCCGCUGCAGACGCAGCCAGCAGGAGAGCCAUCAGCAGCGGGACGCCGACGACGAGGAAGACGAGAGACUUGUUGGAGCACGCCGCGAGUGGUGGCGCCAUUUUGGCGUCGUAGGUAAGGGCGUACGUACGUAGAAACUAAUGGCCUCUUUGAUUGAUGCUUGUGAAGUCCGAG